UACAGAGGUCCCAAGCGUUGUUCGGAUUCACUGGGCGUAAAGGGUGCGUAGGCGGUCGGGUAAGUCUGAUGUGAAAUCUCCAAGCCUAACUUGGAAACUGCGUUGGAUACUAUCCGGCUCGAGGAAUGGAGGGGAGACUGGAAUACUUGGUGUAGCAGUGAAAUGCGUAGAUAUCAAGUGGAACACCAGUGGCGAAGGCGAGUCUCUGGACAUUUCCUGACGCUGAGGCACGAAGGCCAGGGGAGCAAACGGG
rnacentral:rRNA from 1 species